rnacentral:rRNA from 1 species
GACGAACGCUGGCGGCGUGCUUAACACAUGCCAGUCGAACGGAAAGGCCCUGCUUCUGUGGGGUGCUCGAGUGGCGAACGGGUGGGUAACAAGUGCGUAACCUGCCCUUGACUUUGGGAUAACUUCAGGAAACUGACGCUAAUUACGGCUAGGAGCUCCUGCUGCAUGGUGGGGGGUGGAUAGAUUGUGCGGUAGGGGAUGGACUCGCGGCUUAUCUGCUUGUUGGUCGGGUAGUGGCUUACCAAGGCUGUGACGGGUAGCCGGCCUGAGAGGGGGACCGGGCACAUGAGGACUGCGGGACGGAGCAGAAGCCUACCGGAGGCAGUAGGGGGGAAUAUGGCGCAAUGGGGGGAAGCGUGAUGCAGCGACGCCGCGUGCGGGAUGACGGCCUGCGGGUUGAAAACCGCUUUCGCCUGUGACGAAGCGUGAGUGACGGUAAUGGGUAAAGAAGCAACGGCUAACUACGUG